ACUCCGGUGGCUGCAGCCAAGGUGGCAGAGGAGUUGAAGUAAGCUCGUGAAGGCUCCCGCGCCACGCUCAGAUACUACCUGGGAGACACCAAGGACGGUUGGUAGGAGCCCCAUGAAACGGUGACCGUCUGUAAGUCACCUGUACCGUUUCACGAGGAUCCCGCCGCUUGACUGGGUAGAAAGUGGUAGUAAUUGCUAUUCCCACCAGAAGACUGCUUAUUUCUCUGCAUCAUCAUAAUUCGACAUUGUGGUUCUUUAUCUUUACCAGCCUAAUAGAUUGAUAUUCACCAUCAUUUUCCAGCCUUGUGUAGAAAGUCUUCUGUCAAAAGCAAUGAUUAAGACAACAAAAAGCAGACAAAGCCAGGUCUGUGCCUAUAAAACUGAGUUAUACUCAUCUUCAAGAAACAUAGUACAGUAUAAUGGUGAAAAGUUUAACUUUGUGAU